rnacentral:rRNA from 1 species
CAAGGAAUUUUCCGCAAUGGGCGAAAGCCUGACGGAGCAACGCCGCGUGCAGGAAGACGGCCUUCGGGUUGUAAACUGCUUUUGCCGGGGAAGAUAUAGACGGUACCCGGCGAAUAAGCCCCGGCUAACUCCGUGCCAGCAGCCGCGGUAAGACGGAGGGGGCAAGCGUUGUCCGGACUCACUGGGCGUAAAGGGCGCGCAGGCGGUCCUAUGCGUCGGCGCUGAAAGCGCCCGGCUUAACCGGGCGAGGUGCGUCGAUACGAUAGGACUAGAGGCAGUAUGAGGCUGGCGGAAUUCCGGGUGUAGUGGUGAAAUGCGUAGAGAUCCGGAGGAACGCCCAGGGGGAAACCAGCAUACUGGACAGGACCUGACACUCAGGUGCGACAGCGUGGGGAGCGAACCGGAUUAGAUACCCGUGUAGUCC